AGUAAGAAUUUCAUUGUAUGGUCAAAACCAUUGUGUUUUCACCCUGCAUAUGACAAUAAACCUCUUGAAUCUUCAAUUUUUAUUUAUUUUUAUUUUUUUUGGUGAUUCCUUGAAAUUAGACUCUUCUCAUGUAAAAUUUCUAAUUAUUUUAUUACUACUCCUUGCAAAAUUUGCACUAACAAUCAGCUGAACAAAGAAUCAAAUAAACAAAACCUUUCAUUCAGUACAGAAACUCUUGUUUCUUCCGCCAUUUUGAAAGUUUAGGACUCGGAAACUCGGCUAUCAAAAUUAUCUCCGAGUUUCCCAGUCGUAAUUACGACUUAAGGGGUUGUUCAUUUGCAACUUCUUAUUGGGAAACUCGUAUUUACGAUAAUUUAUUUAGCACGUGACGGCAGCAUUGAUGCAGUGUUCAAGUGCUGGCCGUGACUGAAUCCGGGAGAACUGUGCGUUAAAGUGGUGUCUGAGGUUGUCCGAGUCGCAUCGUCCUCACCAGCAGGGGACGCUUUUGUCCAACCUCAUGAAGUCCAGGGUCGCGGGUGGCCUGGAGCCAAUCCCAGGGGACUCGGGGCACAAGGCAGGGGUCACCCUGGACGGGGUGCCAAAGCAUCGCCUCUACAUUUAUAUCCUAAUCUACUUAUGGAACAUUACUGCCAAAAUUUACAAAAUUCUAAGUUUACAAUGGGAAAUGAGUUCUUACUGAUUAUCAGUGAAAAAAGUUCACUUUUAGCAUUUAAACAUGAGCCUCAUUAUUGUCUCUUCACUCGACUGAUCUCUGUUUGUGCUAACAUUGGUGUGAAAUAAAAAUAAAACCUGAUUAAUUCACUCACUUUUGUUCAGUUGAAUAAAUUUCUUGUUAUUUAUGUCUUGUUAUUACUUCACAAAUAUCUGUCUGCUGUUAUCAUUACAGCGUGUGUGAGUGCUCUUCUCUGCUUUGAGGACAGACAUUUUGAGAGCCGGUAUCUGAUCUCAAACUGACUCGUUUAGCCUUAUGUGCAUUUCGUUGUGGCAUGUAACUUUGUAACAACUUGAGCAAAUUGUGAGAAAACCACACUUAGAGAUCAAGGUUUUAGAUAUCUUUUGGCAAGAAAGUCAACACCAAGGGUUAGACUUAGCCUAACUAAAAUAAAUUUAGUAAUAAAUAUUUUUAUUUUUAAAAAAAAAUAUUUUUAAUAUUUUUAUUUUUAAUAUUAGAGGCCUCCUGCCUCAUGUUUACUCAAUCCCUGAGCAACUUAUUAUCAUAUUAAUAAUAAUAUAUUACAUUUUAUUUAUAUUUCACUUUUCAGUAACCAGUUCAUUCUUACUUUUUUAGUGAGCAAGAAGUGAACAUGGAAGGAGAGAGAAAAUAAAAAUAGUACAGCACAGAAAAAAAAGACAGUAAUGAGAAAUGAGGAAGAGAGAAAGAAAAUGAAAGACAAUGGCAUGCUGUGAGCAUUAAUAAUUAAGGAUGAGGACAGUUAAUAAGUUAGAUAAAUUAAUAUUUUACUAAGAGAAGGCAUGGAAAGAAGAAUUAGUUCUUGAUGUAUCAAAGAAAAGUGACUAGAUGUCCUGCAAUUAUAUUUAUUUAUUUAUUUAUUUAUUUUCAGUGUGGAGUAAUCUACCAGGAAGUAAAGCCAGUGUUUUGAAGUAUAG